rnacentral:misc_RNA from 1 species
GUCUUGCCUCUUGCUGGGAACUGAAGAAAAAAGUCAAAACCACACGUACUCCAACUGCGAGGAUUAUUAAGCCAAACGGUGGUGAGACUGAAGAGAAAGGAAGCAAAGAGAACAUAAAAUGGAAGGAAAAACGAAGGAGAAAUGUGAGAAGAGUGGGAUAAUCGAGAUGUGGGCAAAGAAACACCUACUAUACACAGAAGCUACUAGACACCCCUUUAUCCUCAGCAUUCGAGAUGGGUCCGUCGAUCUUUCCUCUUUCAAAAGAUGGCUGGUACUGUGUUCUUAAUCUCAAUAAUCACACUCCUUUUGUAUUAUUUUGCUCUGUAAAUCCUAUAAUUGCUUCAAUUAAUUGCAUUUAGCAAGCACUAAAUUUUGUGGCAAGAUUUUGUAGGGCUUACUCUUAGGGUCAACUUUGGAAUCAAAAUUUGGUAUAUUUAUCUGAUGCAAGAGUUGUAUUUAUACUGAAUGCACUCUGACAAUGAUCAUGGUGGGAUCCGUCCAAGACCAUAAUAAUUUUCUUUCAGAAUAAAAGGGUUGUAUAUACAACCGUUUCACUAAAUAAUUUUCCAAAAUUUGACUAAAGCAAAAAAUGAAAAUUGCAGGGACAGGAUUAUGUAUUUGUUAGAGAGUUUGUACCAUUUGUGGCAAGUGUAUUGAUUAAAGCUUCUAAGAAAUCAGAUGAUGGUAAUGACAUGGAAGUUAUACUAGGUGGUUUGGCUUCUUUAAAUGAUGAGAUUGCUUGGUUCAAGUCAGAGGCCUCCAAGUGGGAUGUUCCUCUUUCUAACACUGUUGUCCAUAAGGCAAACCAGAAUUACCGCAGGUACCAUGUACGCUUCAGCUAAUAUUAUCUUUGGAUUCUUGGUUUUUGAUCAUUCUCAUUUCCAGAUACCAUGAUAAUAUUUUAUAUAUAUAUUCUGCUAAAUUUGGGAUUUUUUUUUUCUAGUUAUGCUUCAUGCCUAUAGAGAAUUUCUAUGUGGGAAUUGAUUUUUCCAUCAAUUAUGAUCAUCCCUAUCAGUACAUUGAAUGAUUCAAUAACAAAUUGGGGUUGGGCCAGUCUGUAUGCUUUGACGAAAUUGUCAUGAAUUUGAAAUCUGGACGCACCCUUUGUGGAAAAAUAAUAAUAAAGAUUAAAGAAAAUAUUGAGCAGUUCAAGGGCCAUUCCAUUUCAAUGUCAGGGUUUGAGACACUUCUGCCAGUAUCUUGAAUCUUGAUGGCUAUUCAUGAAGAAGUUUUUCCUAAUUACAAUAGUCCAUAACCUCUGGUUUAAUUUUCUGAUUACUUGUAAAUGUAAUAUAUAUUGUGUUAUUUUAUUCUUUAUGUCUUAGAGAAGAUGCACGUGGUUUGCUACAGAUUUCUCGAGAAUUUGAUGUUACCAGAAGUUGAUUAUGCCGUGGCCAUUACAGCCUUUUGGGCCAUUGAAGCUGUAUACCAGGAGAGCUUUGCACACUGCUUGGAAGAUGGCAGCAAAACUCCAUCAGAAUUGCAGGACACUUGCCAAAGAUGGGGCAAUGAAGGUUUUGGUGAAUAUUGCCGUUCUUUACAGAAAAUUGCCAAUCGGUGUCUUGAGAAGGCUUCAAGUGACGUGCUUACAAAAGCUGAAGUAACUUUCUUGCGUGUUCUUGAACAUGAAGUUGAGUUUUGGAACAUGAGCCAUGGUUGUGCCUGAAAGAGUUGGCUUCAAAACCUGACAUAAUGGCGUUCCUAAUGCAAAAAUAGAUUUUACUUCAGGCUAGUUCCUAGGGUUUUCUCUGAGCAUUGUAAGUGAAGUUGAAAUGUAAAGGACAUACAAGUAAUAGUCUAUAUAAUCCGUUAAAUUUCGUUUUGC